rnacentral:rRNA from 1 species
AUUGAACGCUGGCGGCAGGCCUAACACAUGCAAGUCGAGCGGUAGAGAGGUGCUUGCAUCUCUUGAGAGCGGCGGACGGGUGAGUAAUGCCUAGGAAUCUGCCCUGGUGGUGGGGGAUAACGUUCGGAAACGGACGCUAAUACCGCAUACGUCCUACGGGAGAAAGCGGGGGAUCUUCGGACCUCGCGCCAUUAGAUGAGCCUAGGUCGGAUUAGCUAGUUGGUGAGGUAAUGGCUCACCAAGGCGACGAUCCGUAGCUGGUCUGAGAGGAUGAUCAGUCACACUGGAACUGAGACACGGUCCAGACUCCUACGGGAGGCAGCAGUGGGGAAUAUUGGACAAUGGGCGAAGACCUGAUCCAGCCAUGCCGCGUGUGUGAAGAAGGUCUUCGGAUUGU